GGUCCAUCAUCAGCAGUCAUCAGGUGUGGCAGCAUUCCUGAGCAUCUGUGGAUCUCCACAAGCAGUGGUAACAUGGUAGCUAUUGCACAGAUGGUCUGAAUAUGGGCACAAACUGCAUUGAGGAAAAAGUGUGAACCCUCAGCAAGCUGCUGCCACUGAAGGCCUGGAGAGAUGCCCGGUGGCCCUCUGGUCACCUUUGCUGAGCGUCCCGUGCCGGGAUGACCUCUUGAGCCAGAGCCAAAGCACAGGCUGUCUCAGUUCUCCUCGUGAUUUCCCAUUUAUUCCCAAGGUCAAAUCCUCAUUAUGUCCCUACACUGUAAACAAUUGCCAAGAAUUAACAGGAUUAAAGAGUAUUAUUUUACAACAAGAAAAAAUUCUACAGUGAAAUUAAUGCAUGCUGGGUAAUUUUCUGUUCAUCAACAGCAGAUUGAUGCUGAUAUCACAGUAAAAUACUGCUCUUGUUUUACUGUUUAACCAAACGUGUGAUCUAGCCAAGUCAGAAGUGUGACAAAUGAAACCAUUUGUUUAAACUAUGCAAAUCUAGAAUAUAAAAUAGGUUAUUUGAAUGAUUUUAAGUUAGUCACACUUCACUUUAGCAUUAAGAUCUUAUUUCAGAUUCAUAGCUUAAGUGCAUUGAUCUGUCACAGUAGUUAAGCAACUGUCUUUGAAAGGUGUCACCUGACAGCAAAAUACUUUUUUUUCUUACAAGUUUCACCUAUGAACAUUACGUCAAUACUACAAAACACGACAAUGGUGACAAAUAAUAAUAAUAAUAAAAAAAGAAACCCUAAAGAGUACAAAAUAAACCAAUAACACAAACUGCUAAAAGUGAACCAAAAUGCAACAGAUAAAACCAACAGGAAUCAAGAAACUCCACUGCAUUAUCUAUUCAUGUCACACUGCAUUCUGGGUACCUUCAUAGUACAUAUGCACUGUAGAAAUACAAUAUGAUAUUGUUUGUUUACAGUAUUUUUUUGAGAUUGCCAUUAGAUACAAGAGAAGUCCUACAGUGAAAGUAAUGCAAUUAUUAACCUGGAAUAUACUGUAAUUUCACACAUUUUUUUUAAGUUUAAAUAGUGCUGUUACUGAAGUGUCUGUCUACACUUAAAGGAUCAUUCUAUGGGCAGAAUCCAUAGGGCAUCUUUUGGAUCCACUGAUGUAACACAUGAUGCUAAUUUGUAUGUGAAUAAGCAUUGAUGAAUAUUUAACAUGACUGUGUUUGUCAGGUUUAGCACCACCCUAUGGUUGUCAGACGAUAGACAAUUUCACAAUUGAUAUUUCUAAAAAGAAGAAUUAUCGUUUUAAAAUGUAAUAAAACAAAUCAGAAGACAAAACUAUUUUAUGUAUUACAAAAUUUUUUAUUACAUACUACAACAUUACAAAAAUGACAUGGUUUCAUAUUUACAACAUAAAAAAAAGACAUUAUUCAUUCUCUCUAGCAGACAUUGUGGCAGGGAGAACCUCUUGUAGGACACGUUUUCAAGAAAAUAAAGAUUGCUUCGUUGCACAGAUCUGUUGGUUAGUUUACAAUAAGAGAUCCAUGCAGCUUUAACAUUUCCUCACAUUUCCAGACGGUGUGUUUUUUAUGUUAGUGUGGAGGGGAUUCUUCUCCAGAGACCUCCACACAGACAGUUCUUGAUCCAGCGUUGCUCCCACUGUCUCAUGGCGUUGGUUUUAUUUGGGGAUCUCAGCAUGGUGACACAGCCACACCUAAACA